GCGGGAGGACGGAGUGGAAGGGGGCCAAUCAGGAGGCUGAUAACCUCAGAGCGCGGGAAGGGAGGGGGUGGAGCGAUGGCGCCCCAGAGAGGAGGGAGCCGCGCACAAAAUGGCGGCCUGACGCGUUGGGUUGCCGCAGGGCGCUGGCUGGGGGCCAAGGUGGGGGUCAGUUGAGGGCGCGCGGUUCAUGCCAGGGUUCUAGGGCCGGAAAGACAACAACAAUAAUACAACAAAGCCGGACAGAAGUCUUUCAAGGGAAGGAAACUGGAGUAUAUUGGAAUCAAGCUGUGUACUGCUGAUACAGGAAGUACCAGUAAAUUAAAAGGGAAAAUUCCCAAAUCGAAGCUGAACAAAAAAAAAAAAAAAAAAGAGAAAGGGGGAGUAGGAAGCAAAGGACAGGAAAGAGUACAGCCAGCCACACAGUCAGAAAAACUAGGGAGAGCCCUCCCAUCACUCCACAGGCAACUCCAGCAACUAUGCCAAGAUUUUGUGCAUCUAUUAAUGAAUAAAUUCAUAAUGUGUCACUGUUACAUUUGCCACAGAACAAAAUCUCCUUCCCUAUUGCUCAAUCCUGUGAUUUUUAUUUACUUGUUUCCCUAUUAGCCACUGAGGCUGUUCACAUGCACAUGCAAAAUCAGGCUAAGGGAGCCCAGCCUAGUUCUGCACAUGCAUGUGAACCGCCGGAAUCAGGCUGAUCCCGGCGGCACUACGGCAAACCCGCCUAAGAAGCCUCCCUUCAAAACGAGGUUAGGAAAGCAAGCACUCUCCUAACUUCGUUUUCCUGCUCGUCGGACAGCCACAGCUGCCAGACUGUAGGGAGCCUGGGGAGGGGAGAUCAUCCCAGUGAUACACCGUGCGAGGUAUUUCCAGGGGCUGGGACCACACAUCCCAGCCCCUGACCCUCCCUGCUGCCUAGGUGCGUGGGGAAUCGUCUGGGCGUGCGAGGAGCAUGCCCAGCACAGGAGAAGCGGUUGUCUACGGGGAAGGUAAGUCUAACCCGCCUUCCCCGCAGCCUGCUCUGGAGCCCUUCUCACCGAAAAAAGACUCAUUAUUGGUAUGUGAUCUUAUUUUCUUGGGAAACUGUAUCCACUGCUGUUUGCUUUUGUAAAUAGAAUGUUAAACGUUAUCUAACAAAAAGAAUCUUUAUUUGCUCCUGUUGUAGACACAUCAGCUGCCACAGAUUAACCUUGAUGUGCCAUUCUUCUGAAAUUGGGGAGCUUGUCAGAGUGUCUGUCCUAAACACUUCAGGUGUUCAAUUUUUAGUAGUUGUUACUCACACAUAGUGAGUACUUUCCAGGCUAUUAUUAAGUACUUGUUCUGAUUUAGAACAAGUUCUUGAUUGGCUAACAGAUUGAUCAGAGAGUUGUUCUCAUUCACAGGGGAUUACUGCAGACUUCCAAGUGCAGCAACAGUUGGUGUCAGCAUAUAAUUAUGAUCAGAUAUAAAGCUGCUCCUUUUGAUCCAAGAAGAGGUGUCUUGUGCCUGGCUUGCCAUGUGCUGUCUUUUUAAUUGUUAUUCUGACUUUUUAAAAAAACACCUGUUCCUUAUGGUUGCACAGAUUUGUGUGUAUGGUGACAAAAACUUGCUGUUUGCUCUGUAGUGGUAAAGCAUGUAUUUACCUUUACUCUCACAUUAUAGAGAAGUUGAUGGGGGAGAAAAAAGUCCAAUAUUAUAAUCACUAGUUAACCAGCUAGGGGAAACUUCAUGAUGCAAAAUAUAGCGAUUAUUAGGAGUCCAAAUUUGUUAUCGUGAAAAGACACCCAUACAUCUUGCUCGGCUUCCAGUUGUGAGUAUAAUUUAUGCUCCCUAGAAUAACAGAAAUGUCAUUCUGCCUUUAUUAAGCCAAAAUGUAGUCUCAAAGUCUACAUGUAGGUGUGGUCUCUGUAGCAGAGAAACAGCCGAUGAAUGAAAACUGGAGGAAUUGCUUACAGAUGCUGCUACUUUGGAAAGUACCCUAGUAUUAACUACAUCAUACUUACACUGCACAGUCAUUUCUACUAUGCAACUGUCAUGUCCUGCUUCAUUGGAGACUGUACACUGGUAUAACCCUGUAGCCAUCCGUGUGAGAUUCUUCAUCAGAACUUGUGCAGGAUUGGAAAAGUCUGGAAAAUCCAGGAACAAGAUCUAAUGAGUUAGGUAGCAUAAUGACCUUAAAUGAUAUAAGUAGUAAAUUACAGAGUAAUUGUUGACUAUCCUGUUGUAACUGAAUAAAGCACUUUCAAUCUUCCUGGGUACUUUUAUGCAUGUUA